UCCUCGUUAGUCCAGUGGUUUAGGAUUCCACGCUUUCACCGUGGCGACCCGGGUUCGAAUCCCGGACGGGGAG
rnacentral:tRNA from 1 species